AGUGAACGCUGGCGGCAGGCCUAAUACAUGCAAGUCGAACGGCAGCACAGCAGAGCUUGCUCUGUGGGUGGCGAGUGGCGGACGGGUGAGGAAUACAUGGGAAUCUGCCCAGUCGUGGGGGAUAACGUAGGGAAACUUACGCUAAUACCGCAUGCGCCCUUCGGGGGAAAGCCGGGGACCUUCGGGCCUGGCGCGAUUGGAUGAGCCCAUGUCGGAUUAGCUAGUUGGCGGGGUAAUGGCCCACCAAGGCGACGAUCCGUAGCUGGUCUGAGAGGAUGAUCAGCCACACUGGAACUGAGACACGGUCCAGACUCCUACGGGAGGCAGCAGUAGGGAAUAUUGGACAAUGGGCGCAAGCCUGAUCCAGCCAUGCCGCGUGAGUGAAGAAGGCCCUCGGGUUGUAAAGCUCUUUUGUCCGGAAAGAAAAGCAUCCAGUUAAUACCUGGGUGUCCUGACGGUACCGGAAGAACAAGCACCGGCUAACUUCGUGCCAGCCGCCGCCGUAACAC
rnacentral:rRNA from 1 species